rnacentral:rRNA from 1 species
CCCAUAAACCCCUCCCCAACCCUUACCAAGUACUGAAUGAUUCUAUAUUUUUAUGGAAAACCAUAUGCUAGAACUAGUAACAAGAAGAAGAACUUCUCCUUAAUGUAAGUGUAAGCCAAAAUGAACUAUCACCGGCAAUUAUCGUCAAUGAAUACAUAAUAUUAACCCCCCCCCCCAAGAAAAACCUAUUAAACUUUACGUUAAUCUUACGCAAGAACAUUACAAGAAAGAUAAAAAGAAGAGGAAGGAACUCGGCAAACCAUACGACCCCGCCUGUUUACCAAAAACAUCACCUCAUGAUUAAAUAUAUGAGGCCCAGCCUGCCCAGUGACUAAUUCAACGGCCGCGGUACCCUAACCGUGCAAAGGUAGCACAAUCACUUGUUCAUUAAAUGUGGACUAGUAUGAACGGCAUCACGAGGGUUAUUCUGUCUCCCUCUUCCUAUCAAUGAAACUGAUCUGCCCGUGAAGAAGCGGACAUAAAAAUAUAAGACGAGAAGACCCCAUGGAGCUUUAAACUCAGAAACACCGCUGUAAACAAACCUUAAUAAUGAGCACCCUGAUUUCUAGUUUUCGGUUGGGGUGACCACGGAGAACAACAAAACCUCCAUGAUGAACGGACUUACCUCUUAAUCCAAGAGCAACAACUCUAAGAAUCAACACAU